rnacentral:ncRNA from 1 species
UCUUAUCUAGAGUGGUCGAGGGACUGGCCCGAUGACGCCCGGCAACCGGCUUUUUAGCAAGGUGCCAAUUCCAGCAGGAAUUUUCCUGAACGAUGAGA